rnacentral:rRNA from 1 species
AGAUCAAAGAACCGAUAAAGCCCCGCUGCCCACCUUCCCAGCUAGUACUGCACCACAGUUCCACCCAGAGGGAAGACCGGAUUCUUACAACAAGACCAGCCGGUUCCGAUGGCUUUUGUUAACUCAAAAUACCUAAGUUGACCGCUGGGCUUGGCCCCGGCAACUGGUUUUUAAACUUUCGGCCUAAUCACUUUCCAAUGGAAGGGAUUGGGCCUCCCUGGGGGGUACCGGGAACCGAAGGACCAGGGUCCAAUUCCGAAAAAGGGGCCUGAAAAGGGCCCCUACUUUUCCGGAUGGGACUUCGUUAAUAAUAACCCACUCUCGAUGUGAGGAGUAAUGACAUGAAAUCCCAAGACUGAUCUCUUAUGAGGCCAGUCAUCGGAAUGGGUACAAUUUAAACCCUUUACGAGUAUCUAUGAGAGGGCAGUCUGUGCAGCAGCCGCGGUAUUCCAGCUCUCAAAUGCAUAGACCAUUGCUGCGGUUAAAGCUCGUAGUGGAUCUGUGCCGCUCCGGUCAUCGCAGAUGCGCACUGUGCAGCGCUUCCUUGCUCACAGCGGGGCCUCACGGACGCCGGCUGGCUCACUAACUUGACAUCAAAUGCUCAACAGCGUUGUUGAUGUUCGGGCUGGAUAUGAGAGAUCGGUCAAUAAUGGGUAUGACUGAUAUGGGGUAACAGAGCACGGCAUUAGAUGCAGGAAGUAUUCUGGACCGGGCGCUGACUACGGGGAGCAUUUGCCCAUUGUCUUUCAUAACGGACGAAAGUCAAGCUCAAUGCAUCGAAUGCGCUA